rnacentral:rRNA from 1 species
UACGUAGGCAGCAAGCGUUGUUCGGAAUUACUGGGCGUAAAGAGUGUGUAGGCGGUGCUCUAAGUUCGGUGUGAAAUCUCCCGGCUUAACUGGGAGGGUGCGCCGGGAACUGGAGUGCUCGAGCGUGGGAGAGGAAAGCGGAAUUCCUGGUGUAGCGGUGAAAUGCGUAGAUAUCAGGAGGAACACCUGCGGUGUAGACGGCUUUCUGGACCAUUGCUGACGCUGAGACACGAAAGCGUGGGUAGCAAACAGG